UAGUGGUGGUGGUGAUGGUCUGGCACUCUCUACAUGGCCCACCAACUGGCUCUGGGCAUUCAUCUAUAGGCGCCAUAUGCUAAACCCAUUCAAGAUGAGAGUUUCGAGACGCCUCUUCGCCUGAAAUUGACCUCUCUUUUGCCCUCUUGAUCGUUCUUUCUUCUUUUUCCAUUUAUUUUCUUGUCAUAAAUAAAUCCGUAAAAAAGAACAGCAAGGUCAACUGCUUACCAAACUCUCACUCUGCCCAAAACUUAUCCUUUCUGCCUUUCCUCUCUUCCUAAAGCUCCUCUUCCAUUCCCUAAAUUCAUCAUCAUCAUCAUCAUCAUCUUGUUAUAAAUAAAUCGGUUAAGAAGAACGGCAAGGUCGACUGCUUACCAAACUCUCACUCUGCCCAAAACUUAUCCUUUCUGCCUUUCCUCUCUUCCUAAAGCUCCUCUUCCAUUCCCUAAAUUCAUCAUCAUCAUCAUCAUCAUCAUCUUGCUAUAAAUAAAUCCGUAAAAAAGAACAGCAAGGUCGACUGCUUACCAGACCCUCACUCGAUUCAAAACUUCAUCCUUUCUGCCUUUCUUCUCUUCCUAAAACUCCUCUUCCAUUCACUAAAUUACCCUAAAAAUUGAAAAGAGGAAAAAAAACUCAGCCAGAAGUCCGUCCCCUCUUCCACUGCAGUAGGACAUGGGGCCAUAUCCUCAAACCCUUUGGCUGCCCAGCAUGUCUUUCCUAGGGGUUUUGGGCGUUUCCAGGGGUCGAUUAAUGGCCCUGGUGGUAGUUUGACCCUUCUUCUGUGUUAUGAUUGUGAAAAAGCACUCAUGAAAACCCCACUGAUCUCUUUUUUGACCCUUGGAAAUAGUUGAAUACCAGCCCCGAUUGCUUAGGUGACAUAAGGGGGAGUAGCCGUGAACAUUACCUUGGAGUGUGGGUGAUGGAGGGGCCAGGCUCAUGGGACCAGUUUAGUGUAUGGUGACUAUGAUAACUUAGUGUACAGUGACUGGCAUUCCUGUAGUGUAGAGAUUGUGCGUGUGUGAAGUGUCUGUCUGGUAGUGUGUGGCGCUAUACGAGGGUCCGAGGGAACAUGGUCUUUUAAAUG